CUCUCUCUCUCUCUCUCUCUCUCUCUCUCUCUCAACAAGUCUCUAUAUCUACCGGCGGUCUGGGGGGGAUGCAACUCCAACCCCACAUUCGCUCCUUUCCUUCUCAAAAGAAACACAAAUGUUUAGCGCCCUAGUGGCUCCAUUUUCCCAUCUCUCUAUCCAUCCAUCCAUCCAUCCAUCUAUCUCUUAUGCUUGUCUUUGUGCCAAUUCAACUGGGUUUGGCAUCUUUUGAGCAACCCACUUUGCUAUUUCCUACCUCUCCAUGGAUCUCCAUGUUACCUUCUUUACCUCUUGGAAAUAUGCCAUGAAGCAACAAGCUCUCUUCAUUAGGGUUUUGGAAUCCACUUUAUAUGUUUCCAUCCAUGCAUACAUACAUGUUUCGUGCAUCUUUUAUAUAUUAAUAUAUGGUCCAUGCAUAUACAUAUAUAUGCCUGGCUCCCUGUAUGCCAUUUGCGGAGCCCAUCGGCUCAUCGAUGGCCUCUGCGGAUGGCGUAUGAGGAGCCAUGCAUACUUCCAUCUCAUGGUGCCAGAGUACGUACGUACAAUAGAAACAGAACUAGAUUGCAGGGCAGCAUUGUAAUUUCCCUUCGUCUGAACCCUUGAGCCAUAUUCCUGCAGGCUGCAGGGCAGACUGGAGAAAGCAAAAAAGAAAAAUGGAGAAGAUGUGGGCAUGGAGAUGAAUGGGAAUCUGGGAAGGGACCACUCACUAUCUCCAAUCUCUGAUUCUUCUUUUUCUGGGCUCUGCUGGUUGGCUAAAAGCGAGGUGGUCCCUUGGUUCAAGAUCGCCUGAAAUCAAUUGGAUUUGGACGGCUCUCUCUCUCUCCCUACAACAUUCUCCACCCCUUGAGAGAAUAAGCCCUUGUUUUUUGGGGUUGGGUAGAGGAGGAGGAGGAGGAGAAUCGAUGCAUGAGAUUGGUGGGUGGGUCCUCAGUGGCUGAGUUCUGAUGAUGAGCUAGCUAGCUUUAUACAGUGUGUACCAAAUGUCUGUAAAAGUGGAUUCAAACCUGUCCUGUUUACUUCUCGUCUUCUUAAAGUAGAUUCCACCUCUACUCUAUACUCUAUUCUGCAGUGUGCAGAUUUUGUUUAACUUGCUUUAAAAUGACAACUACUGAUUUGAUUUUUAUGUUUGCUUUAAUUAAUAUAUUUCUUUACAUUUUUUGCUUU